CUAUGAAUAUUCUCUCGUACCAAUAAGGGGCGUUUGGUUGUAGGUAGUUACAACUGCACUAUAAUUGUAAAUACAUAAAAAUACAAAUUCGAUAUUUGGUUUGAUAUAUUUAACUUCAACUACUGCAGUAGAAACUGCAGGAGGAGGCCCAACUACAGCAGUUAGAACUACGCUCAAAUUGACUGUAGUUUCAACUAUAGCUGUUUGAUAACUUUAAACAAAAGAUAAGCAUACCUCCCUAAUUAUUUUUAAAACAAAAAAUAUAUAUAUAUUUUUUACAUUGAAGGUAAUCUCACCAUCAUAUAUAAAAUGAUAAAAGUUUAAAAAUCAUUUCUCAACUACAUUCAAUCAAAUAAAUUAUUUGUAGUUGCAACAUUUUCUACUCUAUCUAACCAAACAUGAUGCAUAUAGUUGCAAUUGCUAUAUUUUUAACUGCAUACAUCACCCACUAUACUAUAUUUAUAAUUACAACUAGCCAAACGGCCUCUAAAUGUUGUCUAAGCCUAAAGUUUUUAAGUCCC
rnacentral:lncRNA from 1 species